AUUGAACGCUGGCGGCAGGCCUAACACAUGCAAGUCGAGCGGAUGAAGGGAGCUUGCUCCCGGAUUCAGCGGCGGACGGGUGAGUAAUGCCUAGGAAUCUGCCUGGUAGUGGGGGAUAACGUCCGGAAACGGGCGCUAAUACCGCAUACGUCCUGAGGGAGCAAGUGGGGGAUCUUCGGACCUCACGCUAUCAGAUGAGCCUAGGUCGGAUUAGCUAGUUGGUGGGGUAAAGGCCUACCAAGGCGACGAUCCGUAACUGGUCUGAGAGGAUGAUCAGUCACACUGGAACUGAGACACGGUCCAGACUCCUACGGGAGGCAGCAGUGGGGAAUAUUGGACAAUGGUCGAAAGCCUGAUCCAGCCAUGCCGCGUGUGUGAAGAAGGUCUUCGGAUUGUAAAGCACUUUAAGUUGGGAGGAAGGGCAGUAAGUUAAUACCUUGCUGUUUUGACGUUACCAACAGAAUAAGCACCGGCUAACUUCGUG
rnacentral:rRNA from 1 species